rnacentral:rRNA from 1 species
CCUACGGGGUGCAGCAGUGGGGAAUAUUGCGCAAUGGGCGAAAGCCUGACGCAGCGACGCCGCGUGAGGGAUGAAGGUCUUCGGAGCGUAAACCUCUGUCAGCAGGGAAGAACGGUCACGGUGCUAAUCAGCAGUGAAUUGACGGUACCUGCAAAGGAAGCACCGGCUAACUCCGUGCCAGCAGCCGCGGUAAUACGGAGGGUGCGAGCGUUAAUCGGAAUUACUGGGCGGAAAGCGCGCGUAGGCGGUAUGUCAAGUCAAGGGUGAAAUCCCCGCGCUCAACGUGGGAACUGCCUUUGAAACUGGCAACCUGGCGUGUGUGCGAGGCUAGUGGUAUUCCAGGUGUAGCCG